rnacentral:rRNA from 1 species
GAUGAACGCUGGCGGCGUGCCUAACACAUGCAAGUCGAGCGGACAGACCAGGAGCUUGCUCCGCUCACGUUAGCGGCACACGGGUGAGUAACACGUGGAUACCCUACCUAUAAGAGUGGUAUAACCUCGGGACACCGGAUCUAAUCCCGUAUAAUAUACUGAACCGCAUGGUUCAUUAGUGAAAGACGGCUUUGCUGUCACUUAUCGCUGAAUCCGGGCCGCAUGAGGUAGUUGUUACGGUAACCGCGUACCACGGCGAUGAUGCGUAGCCGACCUGACAGGGUGAACGCCCACACGAGAACGGAGACGCGGUCGAGAGGACUACGGGAGGCACCAGUCGGGAACCUUCCGCAAUGGGCGAAAGCCUGACGCAGCGACGCCGCGCGAGUGGUGAAGGCGCUCGGAGCGUAAAGCUCUGUUACGAGGGAAGAACGACUGUCUCAGUAACCAUGCACGUCUUGACGGUACCUAGUAAAGAAGCAACGGCUAACUACGUG